AUCAGGGCGUUUCUAUUUCGAGUGGUGGUGGUGGAUUAGCUUGACGUUAAAAAUUCAAUAGAGCGUGAUUGGUUAUGGAAUGGGGUCACGCGCGCUCGUCAACUGGUGUAAAUGUAUGGAAUUCUUAUUUUGAGUAUGCAUUUCUUCUACGCACCACCACUGGAGAGUGACAAUAAAUUUUUCUGCUGCAUAAUCCCUUUUCUUAAAAAGAACAAUUGUAUCUGUAUUAAAAGCAUGAAAUUAUAUAUUUU
rnacentral:lncRNA from 1 species